UACGUAGGGGGCUAGCGUUGUCCGGAAUCAUUGGGCGUAAAGAGCGUGUAGGCGGUCCGGUAAGUCCGCUGUGAAAGUCGGGGGCUCAACCCUCGAAUGCCGGUGGAUACUGUCGGGCUAGAGUGCGGAAGAGGCGAGUGGAAUUCCUGGUGUAGCGGUGAGAUGCGCAGAUAUCAGGAGGAACACCUAUUGCGAAGGCAGCUCGCUGGGACGUAACUGACGCUGAGACGCGAAAGCGUGGGGAGCAAACAGG
rnacentral:rRNA from 1 species